GUACACUCCUGCGGGAGGCAGCAGUGGGGAAUAUUGCACAAUGGGCGCAAGCCUGAUGCAGCCAUGCCGCGUGUAUGAAGAAGGCCUUCGGGUUGUAAAGUACUUUCAGCGGGGAGGAAGGCGAUAAGGUUAAUAACCUUGUCGAUUGACGUUACCCGCAGAAGAAGCACCGGCUAACUCCGUGCCAGCAGCCGCGGUAAUACGGAGGGUGCAAGCGUUAAUCGGAAUUACUGGGCGUAAAGCGCACGCAGGCGGUCUGUCAAGUCGGAUGUGAAAUCCCCGGGCUCAACCUGGGAACUGCAUUCGAAACUGGCAGGCUAGAGUCUUGUAGAGGGGGGUAGAAUUCCAGGUGUAGCGGUGAAAUGCGUAGAGAUCUGGAGGAAUACCGGUGGCGAAGGCGGCCCCCUGGACAAAGACUGACGCUCAGGUGCGAAAGCGUGGGGAGCAAACAGGAUUAGAAACCCCAGUAGUCC
rnacentral:rRNA from 1 species